rnacentral:lncRNA from 1 species
CUGAGAAAACGUAUCCUAUAAAUGCUUAUGAAAUUCCUCUGCAAAUAUGCUGAGUGAACUGGCAACUUUUUGUUUUGUGUGUUUUCCUGAAAAGCCUGUAUCUAGUGCGUGAUGUCUCAUUUUUUAAUGCCGAUUUUUAUUUUUUGGAGGGGGUGUUCAUAAAUCAGAUGCUAAACCAUAGAUUGUACAAUAUAAACAUUGGGAUUGUAGCUACAUCAUGUCCAUGCACAGACUACGGGAGCUGGACAUCUACACAGUGAUUCGACCGGUAAUUGGAACUGACUAAAUGCCCGGAUCAAACUUUAAAAAGGCAGAAGAGACUUCUGAUCUCAGACUGACUCAGACAUGGAGGAAGAGGAGUCAGGACCUCACAGUGGUACCACCGUGACAGCAGCACAACCCGACGGCGCUGUCUCCCUGUGAAUACGACGGGUGCUGUUUCCCUGUGAAUACGACGGGCGCUGUUUCCCUGUGAAUACGACGGGUGCUGUCUCCCUGUGAAUACGACGGGUGCUGUUUCCCUGUGAAUACGACGGGUGCUGUCUCCCUGUGAAUACGACGGGUGCUGUCUCCCUGUGAAUACGACGGGUGCUGUCUCCCUGUGAAUACGACGGGUGCUGUUUCCCUGUGAAUACGACGGGUGCUGUUUCCCUGUGAAUACGACGGGUGCUGUUUCCCUGUGAAUACGACGGGUGCUGUUUCCCUGUGAAUACGACGGGCGCUGUUUCCCUGUGAAUACGACGGGUGCUGUUUCCCUGUGAAUACGACGGGUGCUGUUUCCCUGUGAAUACGACGGGUGCUGUUUCCCUGUGAAUACGACGGGUGCUGUUUCCCUGUGAAUACGACGGGUGCUGUUUCCCUGUGAAUACUGUGCAGGAUGUGGAGGCGAUGGAGCAAAAGUUACUCGACACAGCUUUCCUGAAUGGAGUGGUAGCUGCUAUGAAUGGGAUGUUUAUCAAAAUAUUUAUUGUAGUAUUUUGUUUAUUUAGUCCAUUGUUAAUAUAAUCCCAACAAUCGUGCAUGUUAGCAAAUCAAGUUUUCAAGAUGGAGCACUUUCAGUACAGAGCAAACAGUGAUGAUGACACAAAUGAGAAACAUUAUUAUAAUUAUUAUCAUAUCAUUAGCAUCAUCCCUCUCAUUGGCUCUAUACUGCAGUGUUUCCUGGUCCAGGGGAUCAAAAGGACCUUUGAAUUGAAUAAGGUAUGUGAGUGCUGAGGCAAAAAAACAACAGUGUGCAUCCCUUGGGACCAGGAUUGGGGAACACCGCUGUACUGAAAGUCCAUCUUGAGAACUUCACUGCUGAACAUUUUGGGGGAUUUUAUACAGGGUGAGGAAACUAAGGUGUACGUUUUUUGUAAUUUGAUUGAACUAUCCCUUGAUCUGAAAAAAUGUGGUAUAAAUAAACCUGCUCAGAUCAGGGCUACUGUUUAUGAGAUGAUGAUGAUGAUGAUGAUGAUGAUAGGACCAGAUACUACUUGACACGUGUAAAAGGUCUCCCCUCACCUGGUUGUCUAGGUCUCUCCUCACCUGGUUGUCUAGGUCUCAGUAAGGAACUCCCCUCACCUGGUUGUCCAGGUCUCAGUAAGGAACUCUCCUCACCUGGUUGUCUAGGUCUCUCCUCACCUGGUUGUCUAGGUCUCAGUAAGGAACUCUCCUCACCUGGUUGUCUAGGUCUCAGUAAGGAACUCCCCUCACCUGGUUGUCUAGGUCUCAGUAAGGACCUCUCCUCACCUGGUUGUCUAGGUCUCAGUAAGGAACUCUCCUCACCUGGUUGUCUAGGUCUCAGUAAGGACCUCUCCUCACCUGGUUGUCUAGGUCUCUCCUCACCUGGUCGUCUAGGUCUCAGUAUGGAACUCUCCUCACCUGGUUGUCUAGGGCUCAGUAAGGAACUCUCCUCACCUGGUUGUCCAGGUCUCAGUAAGGAACUCCCCUCACCUGGUUGUCUAGGUGUCAGUAAGGAACUCUCCUCACCUGGUUGUCUAGGUCUCCCCUCACCUGGUUGUCUAGGUCUCAGUAAGGAACUCUCCUCACCUGGUUGUCCAGGUCUCAGUAAGGAACUCUCCUCACCUGGUUGUCUAGGUCUCAGUAAGGAACUCCCCUCACCUGGUUGUCUAGGUCUCAGUAAGGAACUCCCCUCACCUGGUUGUCUAGGUCUCAGUAAGGAACUCUCCUCACCUGGUUGUCUAGGUCUCAGUAAGGAACUCCCCUCACCUGGUUGUCUAGGUCUCAGUAAGGAACUCUCCUCACCUGGUUGUCUAGGUCUCAGUAAGGAACGCCCCUCACCUGGUUGUCUAGGUCUCAGUAAGGAACUCUCCUCACCUGGUUGUCUAGGUCUCAGUAAGGAACUCCCCUCACCUGGUUGUCUAGGUCUCAGUAAGGAACUCCCCUCACCUGGUUGUCUAGGUCUCAGUAAGGAACUCCCCUCACCUGGUUGUCUAGGUCUCCCCUCACCUGGUUGUCCAGGUCUCAGUAAGGAACUCCCCUCACCUGGUUGUCUAGGUCUCAGUAAGGAACUCCCCUCACCUGGUUGUCCAGGUCUCAGUAAGGAACUCCCCUCACCUGGUUGUCUAGGUCUCCCCUCACCUGUUUGUCUAGGUCUCCCCUCACCUGGUUCUCUAGGUCUCAGUAAGGAACUCCGGUCACCUGGUUGUCUAGGUCUCAGUAAGGAACUCUCCUCACCUGGUUAUCUAGGUGUCAGUAAGGAACUCCCCUCACCUGGUUGUCUAGGUCUCUCCUCACCUGGUUGUCUAGGUCUCAGUAAGGAACUCCCCUCACCUGGUUGUCUAGGUCUCAGUAAGGACCACCCCUCACCUGGUUGUCUAGGUCUCAGUAAGGAACACCCCUCACCUGGUUGUCUAGGUCUCAGUAAGGAACUCCCCUCACCUGGUUGUCUAGGUCUCAGUAAGGAACUCCCCUCACCUGGUUGUCUAGGUCUCAGUAAGGAACUCCCCUCACCUGGUUGUCUAGGUCUCAGUAAGGAACUCCCCUCACCUGGUUGUCUAGGUCUCAGUAAGGAACUCUCCUCACCUGGUUGUCUAGGUCUCAGUAAGGAACUCCCCUCACCUGGUUGUCUAGGUCUCAGUAAGGAACUCUCCUCACCUGGUUGUCUAGGUCUCAGUAAGGAACCCCCCUCACCUGGUUGUCUAGGUCUCAGUAAGGAACUCUCCUCACCUGGUUGUCUAGGUCUCAGUAAGGAACUCCCCUCACCUGGUUGUCUAGGUCUCAGUAAGGAACUCCCCUCACCUGGUUGUCUAGGUCUCUCCUCACCUGGUUGUCUAGGUCUCAGUAAGGAACUCUCCUCACCUGGUUGUCUAGGUCUCAGUAAGGAACUCCCCUCACCUGGUUGUCUAGGUCUCAGUAAGGAACUCCCCUCACCUGGUUGUCUAGGUCUCUCCUCACCUGGUUGUCUAGGUCUCAGUAAGGAACUCUCCUCACCUGGUUGUCUAGGUCUCAGUAAGGAACUCUCCUCACCUGGUUGUCUAGGUCUCAGUAAGGAACUCCCCUCACCUGGUUGUCUAGGUCUCCCCUCACCUGGUUGUCUAGGUCUCAGUAAGGAACUCUCCUCACCUGGUUGUCUAGGUCCCAGUGAGGAACUCUCCUCACCUGGUUGUCUAGGUCUCAGUAAGGAACUCUCCUCACCUGGUUGUCUAGGUCUCCCCUCACCUGGUUGUCUAGGUCUCAGUAAGGAACUCUCCUCACCUGGUUGUCCAGGUCUCAGUAAGGAACUCAGUAAGAGGGGGGGGGGGGCAGUGCCCCUGUGACAACAACUUUGGACCCCCUUGUGGCCCCCCCUAAAUGUGAAGUAUGAAAUAAUUUUUACAUAACACAUUUUUUGCUAUCGUUCUUUUUUUUUUACAUCCGUUAUUAGACAGUGGCAACGCGGAACACUAAUUUAACACAGACAUCUUCUAGAGGGACGGAUUUAGGAUGGAACACAGCAGUAUCGUACCACAUGCAAAACGAUAUGACAACAAUAACGUCUAAUGUAACUGGCCCCCCCUCUAACAGUACAACUGGCCCCUCUAACAGUACAACUGGCCCCUCCCUCUAACAGUACAACUGGCCCCAGCUUGGCCCCCCCUCUAACAGUACAACUGGCCCCAGCUUGGCCCCCCCUCUAACAGUACAGCUGGCCCCCCCCUCUAACAGUACAACUGGCCCCUCUAACAGUACAACUGGCCCCAGCUUGGCCCCCCCUCUAACAGUACAACUGGCC